CAGCACCACUCAGGCAGCUUUUGGGA
rnacentral:piRNA from 1 species